rnacentral:rRNA from 1 species
UUGAAGAGUUUGAUCAUGGCUCAGAUUGAACGCUGGCGGCAGGCCUAACACAUGCAAGUCGAGCGGUAGCACAGAGAGCUUGCUCUCGGGUGACGAGCGGCGGACGGGUGAGUAAUGUCUGGGAAACUGCCUGAUGGAGGGGGAUAACUACUGGAAACGGUAGCUAAUACCGCAUAAUGUCGCAAGACCAAAGUGGGGGACCUUCGGGCCUCAUGCCAUCAGAUGUGCCCAGAUGGGAUUAGCUAGUAGGUGGGGUAACGGCUCACCUAGGCGACGAUCCCUAGCUGGUCUGAGAGGAUGACCAGCCACACUGGAACUGAGACACGGUCCAGACUCCUACGGGAGGCAGCAGUGGGGAAUAUUGCACAAUGGGCGCAAGCCUGAUGCAGCCAUGCCGCGUGUGUGAAGAAGGCCUUCGGGUUGUAAAGCACUUUCAGCGGGGAGGAAGGCGGUGAGGUUAAUAACCUCAUCGAUUGACGUUACCCGCAGAAGAAGCACCGGCUAACUCCGUGCCAGCAGCCGCGGUAAUACGGAGGUGCAAGCGUUAAUCGGAAUUACUGGGCGUAAAGCGCACGCAGGCGGUCUGUCAAGUCGGAUGUGAAAUCCCCGGGCUCAACCUGGGAACUGCAUUCGAAACUGGCAGGCUAGAGUCUUGUAGAGGGGGGUAGAAUUCCAGGUGUAGCGGUGAAAUGCGUAGAGAUCUGGAGGAAUACCGGUGGCGAAGGCGGCCCCCUGGACAAAGACUGACGCUCAGGUGCGAAAGCGUGGGGAGCAAACAGGAUUAGAUACCCUGGUAGUCCACGCCGUAAACGAUGUCGAUUUGGAGGUUGUGCCCUUGAGGCGUGGCUUCCGGAGCUAACGCGUUAAAUCGACCGCCUGGGGAGUACGGCCGCAAGGUUAAAACUCAAAUGAAUUGACGGGGGCCCGCACAAGCGGUGGAGCAUGUGGUUUAAUUCGAUGCAACGCGAAGAACCUUACCUGGUCUUGACAUCCACAGAACUUAGCAGAGAUGCUUUGGUGCCUUCGGGAACUGUGAGACAGGUGCUGCAUGGCUGUCGUCAGCUCGUGUUGUGAAAUGUUGGGUUAAGUCCCGCAACGAGCGCAACCCUUAUCCUUUGUUGCCAGCGGUCCGGCCGGGAACUCAAAGGAGACUGCCAGUGAUAAACUGGAGGAAGGUGGGGAUGACGUCAAGUCAUCAUGGCCCUUACGACCAGGCUACAAAGAGAAGCGACCUCGCGAGAAGCGGACCUCAUAAAGUAUGUCGUAGUCCGGAUUGAGUCUGCAACUCGACUCCAUGAAGUCGGAAUCGCUAGUAAUCGUAGAUCAGAAUGCUACGGUGAAUACGUUCCGGGCCUUGUACACACCGCCCGUCACACCAUGGGAGUGGGUUGCAAAAGAAGUAGGUAGCUUAACCUUCGGGAGGGCGCUUACCACUUUGUGAUUCAUGACUGGGGUGAAGUCGUAACAAGGUAACCGUAGGGGAACCUGCGGUUGGAUCACCUCCUU